AUAUACCUUUCCAAGAUAUUUGAUGAUUUCACAUGGUAUUAGGUUUAUCCAGGAUGAUCAUUAAAUUGAGCCAAUGGAUGAUUGUCUGACAGAAAGAAGAAUACACCUUUAGGAUAACUAUGUGUGAGGUUGUUUGGGCCAAUAAGCGAAAAUAAAGAGUUCCCAGCCCCAUUUCAAACUGAAGUGUUUUAAGAAUAUGAAAUGUACCUGAUGGAAUCUUAGAUGGCUAUUUUUCCUCUGACAUAACUAAAAUGACUCAUGUGUGGCCAAACUUCUUCAAUAUAAAACUAAUCACUUCCUCAAACCA
rnacentral:lncRNA from 1 species